rnacentral:rRNA from 1 species
UACGAAGGGGGCUAGCGUUGUUCGGAAUUACUGGGCGUAAAGCGCACGUAGGCGGAUUGUUUAGUGAGGGGUGAAAUCCCAGGGCUCAACCCUGGAACUGCCUUUCAUACUGGCAAUCUCGAGUCCGGAAGAGGUGAGUGGAAUUCCGAGUGUAGAGGUGAAAUUCGUAGAUAUUCGGAGGAACACCAGUGGCGAAGGCGGCUCACUGGUCCGGUACUGACGCUGAGGUGCGAAAGCGUGGGGAGCAAACAGG